GUGGAGCACAGGGGACCGCGGAUCAGCACAUUGCACAAAGCAUAACACACAGCAAAGCCUUUUCUGCAUCUCUCAUGUCACUGAAGAGCCAUCACUCUGAUCAGAAACUGAGAUCCUGCUUUGUGCUCCUCCAGUGUGGAAAUCUGUCAGAAAUGGCUUCAAGCAAGCCCCAAACACCCACCAGCAGACCAGAUGACAUGGCACAAACCACAGCCUUUUGCUCAAAGCCAGCUGAGAGACUGAAGUGAGGAAGGAUUUUGAGUUUCAUCCCUGCUGAACUGAGGAAGAUGGCAUGUGAGCUGACAUCACUGCAGAUCUAGGAAGGCACGGAAAAUCCUAACGGAGAGAACCUGGACUUUGGAAAAACAGCCUCACUUUUCUCAAAAGAAAAGAUGAAUCCACAGAGUGGAUCUUGCCACAGCAGAAGGAACAUGUGUCAUGGGAACAGCAGAGGCAAAAUGUGUCAUGGGAAAAUCUUGAUGGAUUCAGCCCAGGACGCGAAUAUGCAAAUUGAGACCAAAUUAAAUGCAAUUGAGCAAGAUAACACAUAUCCCAGCAAUGAAGAAAGCUCACAGCACACUCAUAAAAAAAGAUGGAGUUUAAAUCC